CCUACGGGAGGCAGCAGUGGGGAAUUUUGGACAAUGGGCGAAAGCCUGAUCCAGCAAUGCCGCGUGAGUGAAGAAGGCCUUCGGGUUGUAAAGCUCUUUUGUCAGGGAAGAAACGGUGCGGGCUAAUAUCCUGCACUAAUGACGGUACCUGAAGAAUAAGCACCGGCUAACUACGUGCCAGCAGCCGCGGUAAUACGUAGGGUGCAAGCGUUAAUCGGAAUUACUGGGCGUAAAGCGUGCGCAGGCGGUUUUGUAAGUCUGUCGUGAAAUCCCCGGGCUCAACCUGGGAAUUGCGAUGGAGACUGCAAGGCUAGAAUCUGGCAGAGGGGGGUAGAAUUCCACGUGUAGCAGUGAAAUGCGUAGAGAUGUGGAGGAACACCGAUGGCGAAGGCAGCCCCCUGGGUCAAGAUUGACGCUCAUGCACGAAAGCGUGGGGAGCAAACAGGAUUAGAUACCCUGGUAGUCCACGCCCUAAACGAUGUCUACUAGUUGUCGGGUUUUAAUUAACUUGGUAACGCAGCUAACGCGUGAAGUAGACCGCCUGGGGAGUACGGUCGCAAGAUUAAAACUCAAAGGAAUUGACGGCUGAGACNGACGAGACGACGACGAGGAGAGG
rnacentral:rRNA from 1 species